rnacentral:lncRNA from 1 species
GCAACCCUUGCCUUUUUCCAACCUAGGCCACUCCUAUACAUACGGCAAAUGAGCCAAGGUGCUCUCUGUGCACUGGUUUGGUGCAGGGAGUUUGCAUCGCUUGAAAGGCACUCCAAACGUGUUCUCCUUUGAGGAGAAGCCUGAUGUGGCAUGAAAACGCCUUCUUUUCACAAGCGGGAAAAAGCAGCACACAGUGACCUAGGGCAAUCCACGCCGGACGGAAAUCUCACAAACUCCACAAAAGAUGAAUGUGCAACGUUUCUCCUUGCAAAGUGUAUCCUAUUCAGUGAGUGAACACCAGCCCCAGUGCGGGUUUACUUCGGAGACCAAACCUUGCCUUUUUCCCAUCUAGGCCUGUCCUAUACCUAGGAAAAUGAGCCAAAGUGCUGCCCAAUGAACUCUGUGCACUGGUUUGGUACAGGGAGUUUGCAUCACUUGAAAGGCACUCCAAAUGUGUUCUCCUUUGAGGCGAAGCCUGAUGUGGCAUGAAGAUGCCUUCUUUUCAAAAACGGGGAGAAGCAGCACAUAGCGAGCUAGGGCGAACCACGCCUGAUGGAAGUAUCACAAACUUCCCUUAUGACCCAAGUCCAUUCAGCCCCCAGGGGAACAAGCUAUGAACCCAAGGGCCGGGUCUCCCCAUAGAAGGUACAGUUCCAGAAUAUACAAGCCGCCUCCGUGAAGAUAUCGUUCCUUUUGUUAGUCCCCUUCCUGGUGUCAAAACUCAAGACCAAUGAUGACAGAGGAGGAGACAAUGUUUGCAUUCCCAAUGUACGCAUGAGAUCGCUAAUAGUUUUUCUCCCCUUCUUCCUCCCCCCGCUUAUUUUCUUCAUCGUCACCCUUCCCAUCCAUCCUGCCAGAUUCUCUGUUGGUCUUUCUGUCUCUGGCUCUGAUUCUCUCCAUCUACCUGUUGAUGCCUGUGUCUGUGUUGCCGCCUCCCUGCCCCUCUCUGUCACUGCUCUGUCUCCUGCUCACUCGAUCUCUCCUCCUCUUUGCUGUGGCUGCUGCCUGAUGAAGGUUCCUUGCCUCAGGUCUCUAAGGGGGACAGGACUGUUUCAAAAUGCAUUUUCCCUAAGACCGACCUUCCAGUCCUGUCAGGGUUUGUGUGAUUCUUGAGAAUGACAGUCUUCAAACAAUGACACAACCAGAUUAAGCCCUGGCCGCCAAAAUACUGACCCUACCAACUUGAGUCCAGAUUGCUUAGGCCGGAUUGUUGUCUCUGCCCCUGGGCACCGAGAGAGAGAGAGGGAGGGAGGGAGGGAGGGGGAGAGGGAGAGAGAGAGGGGGAGAGAGAGAGAGAGAGAGAGAGAGAGAGAGAGAAGCUGAGAGGGAGUGGGAGAAAGAGGUAGAGAGUGUGAAAAGGGUGAGGAGGAAUCAAGGGAAUCAUGAUCUCUUGUGUACCUGAAUUCUGCUUUCUGGAAUACCAAGUUCUCAGGCCAGUCAUCCUCUGGUUGUUAUCCCGGGCUAAGGGUUGUCUUGAAAGUCUGCUAUAAGAGCAUCCUUCUGACUCAGUUUCACAACAAGCCUCCUUCUCUGUGAUCCUCUAGAGGCUGAGCCUGUUGAGGAGAAAAUGGGGAGAGUUCAGGGAGGAUUCCACGGCGACACAAAAUGAUAGGGUUCACCCAGCCCGGCCAUUGCUCUUGGGCCGUGUGGAUAUUUCCCCAGACCAAGGAUGACUCUGCACACCUGUUUAGAACGGAUGUCAGUACCUGGAAUAAAAGCCAAAUGGAGUCCUUGGGGGCUCAAUCUAUGCCUAUGAGAAGAGAAGUUACUCAAGUUUGUAGCCCACGACUCACAAAUCCUCAAGAGACUCACUUGCAAACGAAAUGGAAGGAAGACUCCAGGGAAUAAGGGAAUCGAGGGUAGUGGAUGGGACCCGGCAUCCCACCUGUGGGUGAUUACCAAUAUCUUGACGGGCCCAUGCAAAACUUACACAGCAGAGUGAAUUCUCCGCUAAACACUGUAGCCUCUUGCUACAUCCAGGGCACAUUGGCUCCAACCAUCAGAAUGGAAGGGGAAGGAAAUGAAACUCAAAAAACGAAAGCAAAACAAACCACUACAAAAUACACAAUGCACUCCUAGCUGGUGGAGGAGAAACAGUUUCAUGAGGAGCCCACACCACAGUGCCCCUUCUGAUGGAAGCCAUACCGGUACUCCUUGCACUGUGAGUUACCCGGUCUAAACACCAAGGGUAUAUUGCCUCGCUCUGUGAAGGUGCUACUCGUACUCCAUGGAAGCUUGCAAGUGUUGGACCCCUGUUCUCUCUCUGGUACCGUCCAUUUUGUGGUGGAAAAGAAGGAAAGAAUGGCCUCUGGGUCACGUAUUCCCAGGGGAAAAUAAUGGGAUGGUCAGGGGAAGUGCAUUUCCGGGCACACCCCUGCGUCCAUGAGACACUGCAUUUCCUGAAUGAUACCCAACUCUAGGACAGCACCAGGUUUCCUGCAGAAAUACCUGCUAGCCUCUACCUGUCUGCUGACAAACACACAUUCCCAGGGUCUUUUCCCUGUGGAGGAAGGCAAGGCAAGGCCCUCAUACCCAAUCCAAUCCCUCCUGAAAGAUCAUCUUUCAUUCUGGACAGCACCCACGACGAAUCACUUGGAAACUCACACGAGACUUUCUGCAUCAAGACCAGUUUCCUCUUGAAGAACAUAACUCCCAGCCCCCAAUUUGGAUUCUAGCGCAAGACAAUUUGAACGGCUCCUGGAAUCUGUGUCUCUCAGGCCUUUGAUUGCAGAUACACGCAAAGCAAAAGUUUUCUUCUGUUCCUCUGACUACCCAUCGAAUGUUGAUGAUUUACCAGGACAAAAAGACAUCCAAUAACUCAAAUAUCCAACAAAAAUGAAAGAGAGCAAGCGAACAAUGGAAACCACACAGCAAAUACAGCAGAGACAACAUCAACCCAAAAACAAAAUCGUGGAAAUACAUAUUCUAUUAAAUAAUGCAAACUGGCCAAGGGUGAUAAACGUGUAGAUUUAACUCGCUCAAAUAUGUUAGGUA